rnacentral:rRNA from 1 species
AUUGAACGCUGGCGGCAGGCCUAACACAUGCAAGUCGAGCGGAUGAAGAGAGCUUGCUCUCUGAUUCAGCGGCGGACGGGUGAGUAAUGCCUAGGAAUCUGCCUGGUAGUGGGGGACAACGUUUCGAAAGGAACGCUAAUACCGCAUACGUCCUACGGGAGAAAGUGGGGGACCUUCGGACCUCACGCUAUCAGAUGAGCCUAGGUACGAUUAGCUAGUUGGUGAGGUAAAGGCUCACCAAGGCGACGAUCGUUAACUGGUCUGAGAGGAUGAUCAGUCACACUGGAACUGAGACACGGUCCAGACUCCUACGGGAGGCAGCAGUGGGGAAUAUUGGACAAUGGGCGAAAGCCUGAUCCAGCCAUGCCGCGUGUGUGAAGAAGGUCUUCGGAUUGUAAAGCACUUUAAGUUGGGAGGAAGGGCAGUAAGUUAAUACCUUGCUGUUUUGACGUUACCGACAGAAUAAGCACCGGCUAACUUCGUGCCAGCCGCCGCCGUAAGAC